rnacentral:misc_RNA from 1 species
GAUUCAUCCCUUGAACUUUCCGAAGUGGAAUUUCCUUGAUCCACUUGAACAGAGGAGAAGGGCGAUAACUGGGAUCUUUGUAGCUGGUCAUGGAAAUGAUCAAUUGGUUCAGGCUUUGGAUUGGUCAUUGGUGAUGAAAGAAUGCUUUUCUGCUCUUUAUUGGCAGAGGGUUGCCACUGCACUGAGGUCUGCUGGAUUCUUGAAGUACUUGACAUAUUAA